AUCCAAACAUAAUGAAAAAGUUACAAGUAGACAGGGGUGCAAUAAAAUUUGUCCUUGCUGGUGCAAACAUAAUGUGUCCUGGACUUACAUCUCCAGGUGGUGCUUUGGAUGAAGAAGUGGAAGCAGAAACUCCUGUGGCUAUAAUGGCUGAAGGAAAACAGCAUGCUCUUGCGAUUGGCUUUACAAAAAUGUCAGCAAAAGACAUGUAAGUUAUUGUCUAACAUAUUGUAUCAUGAUAUUUUAAAUUAAAUGUGGUGCCAAACUUUUGGAUGUACUUAACUGUGGAAAAGCUGUUUUUCCACUUACCCCGAGAAGAGUGUUGAAACAAUUCACGAUCAUGACAUAAUUGUGAAGCAAAGACCUAAAAUUAUGAAUGGGUGGGGAUUAUUGUCUUUCUAGUCCUUCCUAUCCUAUAUAAUUCCGCAUGCCAUUCAGUAUUGAACUGCAAUUUUCUAAUAUAUUUCUUCUUGUCGCUAGACAUGGCAAAUGACAUUUGGCUUUAAGCACAUUCUCCUCUCACACUUGCCUUCAUUAUUGGGCUAAAUAUAUGGUUAAAAGUUUCUACUAUGAUGGUAAAAUUGAAUUCAAAAUGUAUUUAGCCAGUAUAUAUCAAAUAUGCUAUCACGUGCCAUUCAGUCUUGAAGUACUAAUAUAAUAUUUCAGGUUGUUGCAUGGCAGUAGAAAUGCCAUUUGGUUUUAAGGCCAUUGUCCUCUUACACUUGCCUUGUUCACUUGCUAACUAUAUGGCUAAAUGGUUCUGUGAAGUCGGCAAAAACAGAUAACUGUAAGAGUGGCAUUUCACCAAAAUGUCUCUCUAAUGCCCUUUAAACCUUGUUGAACAUUAGUUAUUGUAAGUAAAAUCCAACUGGCGACCAUGUUGAUCAUGCUGUGAACAAUUGCAAUGCAGUUGGUCACCAUUGCAUUGCAUAUGAUGUGAACAUUAGGAGGGGAUUGUUAUGAAGCAGGUUUUUAAUUCCAGAGAAGAGCAGAAAUUA
rnacentral:misc_RNA from 1 species